rnacentral:rRNA from 1 species
GGGAUAGCCUUUCGAAAGGAAGAUUAAUACCCCCAUAAUAUUUAGAAUGGCAUCAUUUUAAAUUGAAAACUCCGGUGGAUAGAGAUGGGCACGCGCAAGAUUAGAUAGUUGGUGAGGUAACGGCUCACCAAGUCUGCGAUCUUUAGGGGGCCUGAGAGGGUGAUCCCCCACACUGGUACUGAGACACGGACCAGACUCCUACGGGAGGCAGCAGUGAGGAAUAUUGGACAAUGGGUGCGAGCCUGAUCCAGCCAUCCCGCGUGAAGGACGACGGCCCUAUGGGUUGUAAACUUCUUUUGUAUAGGGAUAAACCUAGAUACGUGUAUCUAGCUGAAGGUACUAUACGAAUAAGCACCGGCUAACUCCGUGCCAGCAGCCGCGGUAAUACGGAGGGUGCAAGCGUUAUCCGGAUUUAUUGGGUUUAAAGGGUCCGUAGGCGGAUUUGUAAGUCAGUGGUGAAAUCUCACAGCUUAACUGUGAAACUGCCAUUGAUACUGCAGGUCUUGAGUGUUGUUGAAGUAGCUGGAAUAAGUAGUGUAGCGGUGAAAUGCAUAGAUAUUACUUAGAACACCAAUUGCGAAGGCAGGUUACUAAGCAACAACUGACGCUGAUGGACGAAAGCGUGGGGAGCGAACAGGAUUAGAUACCCUGGUAGUCCACGCCGUAAACGAUGCUAACUCGUUUUUGGGUUUUCGGAUUCAGAGACUAAGCGAAAGUGAUAA